ACACCUCAACCCUCUAAUGUUUUUGCAUUGAAGGCGUUGGUAGUGAGCGCUGCCGGUCUUUGGGUCGGCUCGCUUUAAAAUAAUUAGCUGGAUCCAUUCUGACCUGGUUCUACUCGGCGUAAUAAGUUAUUAUCGUCGAGGACGCCUAGCCUUCUAGGCAGGCGGCCACAGUAAGGGUGUUUGAACCGCUUCCAACACGUCUUGCUCUUGUAGCAAACACUUGAAC
rnacentral:misc_RNA from 1 species